rnacentral:lncRNA from 10 species
AUCAAUACUAACCCUCCUGAAAACCUCUUCGGAACAGCAGUUGUAGAUGUGUUGUGGGGGGGUCAGGUUUUUCCAGGACAUGUCCAAAAGCUGGCAUCACACCUCUCAGUGAUUGAGACACCUGCCUCAGUCUCUCGCUUCUGUUGUCAGCCUUCACCAGCUUGUGUCUCAGCCACUGAACCACCGUUUCCACCAGCCCAAGGGCUUCUUGGUAGCAGGGCCUGGAUGUUGUCACGAUUUGCUCCUGCAUUUCCUAGCAUGCAGUGGCUACUUCAUAAACAGCUGGGUAGGCAUUUGAAGGGACAAAUGAAACUAAUGACUCAGUGUCCUGUAAUCCAGGUGAAACCAGCCUCAUCUAACCAAGCAAGACCAGCCUUCUCUGCAUGAGGCAUCUGCCCACUGCAUUUAACUCUAGCAGAGGGUCCACCUUUUGUAAGCUUGGCCGAUGAAAGAAAAAAUUUAAAAUAUGACAUUUUACUGUGGUCAAGUGUCCUGAGGAAUAAACAAUUUAUUCAACAAACAUGAUGUGCAAAGAUUUUGUUCUUCCGUGUUCUCUGACAGGGCUGCAUUGAGGGCUUCACUAUUUCCUCACAAAAGUCCAGUUUUGUGAGAGCUUGGGAGGCAUGAGUGACAGGGAGUGAAGAUAACCAGACCCUGUAGGUAAGUGACAGGGACCAAAAAUGACCACACCCUGCAGACAACCAACGUCACAGGGACCGAAAAUGACCUCACUCUGCAGACAACCAAAGCAACAGGGACCAAAAAUGACCUCACUCUGCAGGUAACCAAAGUCACAGGGACCAAAAAUGACCUCACUCUGAAGACAACCAAAGCCACAGGGAACGAAAAUGACCUCACUCUGCAGGUAACCAAAGUCACAGGGACCGAAAAUGACCUCACUCUGCAGACAACCAAAGCGACAGGGACCAAAAAUGACCUCACUCUGAAGACAACCAAAGCCACAGGGAAUGAAAAUGACCUCACCCUGCAGGUAACCAAAGUCACAGGGACCGAAAAUGACCUCACUCUGCAGGUAACCAAAGUCACAGGGACCAAAAAUGACCUCACCCUGCAGACAACCAAAGUCACAGGGACCAAAAAUGAUCUCACACUGCAGACAACCAAAGUCACAGGGACUGAAAAUGACCUCACUCUGCAGGUAACCAAAGUCACAGGGACCGAAAAUGACCUCACCCUGCAGACAACCAAAGUCACAGGGAGUGAAGACUCCACAGGAGACUGGAGGAGGGGAGCCACAGCUCUUGCCACCCAGCGAGUCUAAUGAACAUGCACUUCAUAAAUCGAACCUCUCCCCAGGUUUCUUCUUCUGGGCCCUCUGGCUCAUCCUCCUCUCCGCCCACACCCCCUCAGCUUCCCCUUUCGGCUGCCCAGCAGGCCAGCUGCCAUGCCAUGCUCUGCAGAACCCAGAUUAGCCGCAUGAGCAGCCCUGCUUUUCUCCAGCGAGCCCGCGGUUUGGAUGCCAUCCUGGUGCAGAUGUGCAUUGAGCACCUACAGAGAACCAGGCUCACUUCUGUGCUGGAAGAAAGAAGUCAUCCCCCCACUCAGGGAGCUCUCGCGAAAUAACACUGCUCCUCCACAGGACAGCACCUUCUUAAAUAUGCGGUUCCGAGAGUGCAAAAUCAGCACUCACAGGAGGACGCUAAGGCUCAGAAGAUGCAGGGCACUUGCCCGAGUAUAACAGGUGGGUACUAAUCCGAGGGACUCAUGCCCAGCACCGUAGGAAACCCAUGCGAUACACCACAAACAGCCAAUGCUCUGUCCAUUGUUCUUCUCCCCGUCGGGUUCUGCCUUCUGAUGGGAGAGACAUGUUCAUCCUAAAAACCUUUCCUAAUUUCUCUACGACCCAGUGAAGUUCCUGAAAGUCUACAUCAGACGCCCGGUCUGGAUGCUGGAUAUUGU